UGGGCCAGCUUAAAAAGAUUUGGACCAAAAACUACGCAGUCAACCAACAAAUCAACCUGAAACAUUUCAUUGCGCUGUGGUUGCUGUUGUUGUAUAUUACGAAUGCCAUAUUUUGACCAAAAAAAUUGUAAGUCCAUAGUGUUGUACCCUGACCGGUAUAGUGGUUUUUGGUGUAUCUUUUCGAGCGCAUCAAUGAGUCUCAAAUAAAUUAUUGUCGAAAUGUUGCGUUUCGAAAUUAAAACAAAAAAAAAAAAUCAAACAGAAUCAUAUAAUAAAACAACAAUAACAACGUCCAUAAGUAAAGUAAAGGCAAAAGGUAAAACCAACAACGCCUUUGGCUGUCAGCAAACAUUCACGAACUUUUUCCAGCAACAAAAAAUUCAACGCACCGGCAGUCGGAGGCGCAAGCAUUGCCAAAGGAUCACUGUCCGCUUUGCCCAGUCAUUACAGGUAGGCUGGUAGCGUAAAUUUGAUUGCAGUUAUUAAAAGUCAGCGAUUGGCAUUCGAUAUACAAAUAAUCAUAAAUUGCUUACAAAUAAAAAUUAAUGAAAUUAAAACAGCUACAUGUGCUUGUUUGCACCUAAAUAUAUGGUGGAUAUAUGCCAGCAAGGGAUACCGCGGUUGAGUUGCGAAGGAAACGGGUUGUAUAAAGUUAUUGAUAUGUGAAAAUCUUUAUGAAUAAAUUAUUAAGCUUUUGUAGAGCUUUUAGUGUUAACUAUUGUAGAAUACAGAAGAACGAGAGACAGACAGAAGGCGUCUAUUAGACAAGAUAAUUCUUCGAGUACAGAUCUUUACGCGAUAAAAGAGAGCAAAAUUGAAAGACCCUAUUAGACAAGAUAAUUCCUUAAUACUUUUGUAAAGCUUUCAGAGUUGACUAUAAAAGAGUGAAACAGAGUGAAAAAGAGUUGAGUAUAAAAGGAAGAGGUAGAUACUGCAAGUUGUGCUUAGCAGCCAGUCUUUAUAAAAGCUUUUAUAAAGACUAAUUUGGAACUAAUAAUAAUGAACGCCGUGACGAAUGUACUGUGUGUACGACUAUUACGCUGCAGAUAGUACGAUCGAUGCCGGUCUGCAAAAUUCUAUAGAUAUACAACGGGUCUACUGUUCUAAAACCAAGCGAAAUUCCGAGUGUAUUUGUGAUACAAAAAAGCUUAUCAUACAAGUAUAAAUUAAUCAGUCGUUAGUUGGGUUCUCCGGUUGAGUGGGUGUUGAAAUCCGGAAAUUUUCUUUUAAAAAAAUUGUGUUGCCUGGCAUGCUGUUUUUUACGACGGUUAACUCAUAAAUUUAAAUUUCAAGUCUACAACUAUUGAGGGGAAAGAGAAAGUUCGACACGCAGUAAGGCCACCAUUACUUCCCAAGGCGAUCCGAUAUUGGAAAGGCUCCGUUAGAAUACAGCCGAAUUUACCUUCUGGCUGCAAAGAAAGCAAUAGACACGGGAUUAGACCCUGAAUUAGGAGGUGACAGCUCUUGAUAAUUGUCUCAGCUGAGGCAUUGCUUUCGAAAACCUUUACACCGAUUGGGAAAAGCCUAUUUGCUGUACGAUUAAUUCUGGUAAAGUACUCUUCCGACAAAUUUACGAAACUAAAAAAAAAUAUUACAAAUCAAGUCUUCCACACUUGAGGAGAGGUAUAAAUACAUGGCUUUAUGCCAUAUAUUUCCUGAUAAAUAUUAGUCUUUCUAUAAAAACCGCCUAACAUUAGCUGGAUCAGUUGAGUUAAUGAUUUUACUUGACAGAUCUAUCAGCUAAGGAAUUUCGAACCGUUUUCAUAUCCUACGAGAAAAUUUCUAUUUAUAGAAGUAGUUCUACUAUAUCGCUAGUGUUAUGAGCGUUCAUGACGAAAUGAGCUUUUAGUACCUCAGGGUACUAUAUAUUUUGUAAUACAUAAACAACAAUUUUUAGAUUACGGGAAGACCUUUCUUUUUUGGAAAGUUUAUAUUCCUGUAACUGGUUCAGACCUUAUUCAUAGAUGGCUUUGUAAUAAUGAUUUGGUUUGUAGAAUAAAGUGAUUGUUAUUCGAAUAAUGUACAGCAAAGUUCAUCAUCUGAUGGAACAGUCCUUAACCUUGUCUCAGAAAAAAAUAUUUACCACGAUUUAACCUUGUAGAGAGGAAGGCUACUACGAUAAUUUUUUUAAACUGCAACUGAUUAGCUAAACUACAAGCUAGAAAAAAGAACAACAAUCGGUUGACGAUGGACAGUUUUUUCAAACUUUUAUUGCCGUGAGAAAAUCUGUCAAGGUUGAAUUUUCUCCGUACUCCUGCGUAUAUGUUAUGUCCAAAAUCAACAAUCAAAGGAAAUAUCAACAAUCACUUGCACUAAUCCGCGAUUUCACACAAAUGUCAACGGCUGAAAUGGCCGGAUAUUGUUAACAAAAAGUCAAAAGCAAAGUCACCGAAAGGCCGCAGAAUUAUCUCACAUAUACUUAGAGACAGGCAUAUGCUAAGCAGACAAUGCGAUCAGUACUAUUACCCAACAAAGGACUUCAAGCGACCAUUUGCGAGUAUUUGUGUGCAAACAGAUGACAACAAAACAAGGAUUAAACGGGCUAAAUUCUAAGGUAGAAAUAACAGACAAUGCGUGAGCGAUUUCCAUAUAAGCGGCUAAGGGCUAGGUGGUCUGCAUUACAAAGCGAAAAUGAGGAUCAACAAACGUUUUGUGGCGAGCGUGUCGAUUGUGUACGAAAACCGCAGGAUACAGCUGAGUAUUUAGCAGCGCGAGGUGGAAGAGAGGCGAUCAAGAGACACAUAGAAGGAUUUAGGAAAAUGCGUUAAAGUGAAAUACACACAUACAUAUAUUAUAUAUAAAAAUAGAAUUGGUGGGUGCGCUGUAUCGAGACAGCAAAUAAAAAUUUAUGGCUUUGCUCAUUAAAA